rnacentral:rRNA from 1 species
CCCCUAGAUGUUCUGGGCCGCACGCGCGCUACACUGAACAGUUCAACAAGUCUUAACCUUGGCCGAUAGGUCUGGGUAAUCUUUGAACGCUGUUCGUGAUGGGGAUAGAUUAUUGCAAUUAUUAAUCUUCAACGAGGAAUUCCUAGUAAGCGCGAGUCAUCAGCUCGCGUUGAUUACGUCCCUGCCCUUUGUACACACCGCCCGUCGCUCCUACCGAUUGAAUGGUCCGGUGAAAUGUUCGGACCGCGACAAGGCGGACGGUUCGCUGUCAGCUUUGCUGCGGGAAGUUCAUUAAACCUUAUCAUUUAGAGGAAGGAGAAGUCGUANCA